rnacentral:rRNA from 1 species
UACGUAGGGAGCAAGCGUUGUCCGGAUUUACUGGGCGUAAAGAGCGCGCAGGCGGUCGGAUCAGUCGAAUGUGAAAGCCCCCGGCUCAACUGGGGAGGGUCAUUCGAUACUGUCCGACUCGAAGGCAGGAGAGGGAAGCGGAAUUCCCGGUGUAGUGGUGAAAUGCGUAGAUAUCGGGAGGAACACCAGUGGCGAAGGCGGGUCUCUGGGCAACAACUGACGCUGAGGAGCGAAAGCGUGGGGAGCGAACAGG